AGAUGAGAUUAUGUAUGAGAUUACUUUUCCCAUUGGUUUGAUUAGCUGAUAUGGUGACCCUAAUACUGAACAGAAUCUGAUCAUCC
rfam:Triticum aestivum genome assembly, contig: Triticum_aestivum_CS42_TGACv1_scaffold_576840_7BL